rnacentral:pre_miRNA from 1 species
UUGGUGGCUCUAACAGCGGCACUGACCUUUCCAUAGUAAUUGGUAAGGUGCUAUUUGUUGGGGUAGUUUAA